rnacentral:tRNA from 1 species
GCCUGGGUGGCUUAGUCGGUUAAGCAUCUGACUCAUGGUUUGGGCUCAGGUCAUGAUCUCAGUUUGUGGGUUCAGGCCCCACAUUGGGCU